GGAGAAGAAGGUAAAUGAAAUCCCCAAAGCUUCGGAGACAGAUGCAAAUGUAAUGAGGAACAAUCGGUUCUCUCACGGAAUGAUUCAACCCCAACUCCGGGAGGGAACAUGGCGAUAACUGCAGGACAUCGCCAUGCGACCUUCACGCUUGCUCCCGUUUGGCCUUCCUGCAUCUCCGCCAGUUAUCUUUGCAGUCGACGGAGGUCUUCCCACCAUCCCGUAAUUAACUAGCGACGCUGCUCAUCAGGCGCUGUUAAAAGUCGCCCGUAAUAGCGUCCGCAGAGAGACGGACGGUCGGGAGCGUUGGACCUCCUGCUGCCCUUUCAAGUUAUUGAGUUUGCCUGCUGAAUGCACAGAAAGCAGCUGCGGAGGACAGGCUGGCCUUGCGUUAUUCAGCAUCUGGGAAUCGCCAAAUAACCUUCCAUGUUUGUUCUUGUUCGCAAAGUCCACAGACAGCCCUUUGUGAAAUCUCACUAAAUGAAGAUAUUUAAAACCUCUCUUCUUCUCAGAUUCUACUUCGCUUAUUCAACUUUUAUUAAAUUUUAUCUGUCGUCUUUGUGCCUCCAUGAAAGCAAAU